GUAAGCUGACACAGAGGCAAUUCAUCAAGCCCCAAGGAAUAGGAUGGGUAUAUGCCCAUUCUGUAGUAUGGGCAAAUGGAGGCUUUUCUUUGUCCUGUAUCUUUUCUUUAGAGGUGGACAUAAAACCCUGAUGGUAAAAUAGGUGAUGUGAUGAUGCUAUUGAAAUCUAAAACUGCCCCUUGGGAGGUUUAAAAUUUUUUUUUUAAAAAAAAAGGUUGUUAAAAG